rnacentral:rRNA from 1 species
UGGCGGCGUGCUUAACACAUGCAAGUCGAACGGGACAUGCCAGUUUGCUGGUGUGUUUAGUGGCGAACGGGUGAGUAACACGUGAGUAACCUGCCCCGGACUCUGGGAUAACUACGAGAAAUUGUAGCUAAUACUGGAUAUGACCCCUGCCUGCAUGGGCUGGGGGUGGAAAGUUUUUCGGUCUGGGAUGGACUCGCGGCCUAUCAGCUUGUUGGUGGGGUAAUGGCCUACCAAGGCGACGACGGGUAGCCGGCCUGAGAGGGUGACCGGCCACACUGGGACUGAGACACGGCCCAGACUCCUACGGGAGGCAGCAGUGGGGAAUAUUGCACAAUGGGCGAAAGCCUGAUGCAGCGACGCCGCGUGAGGGAUGACGGCCUUCGGGUUGUAAACCUCUUUCAGUUCCGAAGAAGCGAGAGUGACGGUAGGAGCAGAAGAAGCACCGGCUAACUACGUGCCAGCAGCCGCGGUAAUACGUAGGGUGCGAGCGUUGUCCGGAAUUAUUGGGCGUAAAGAGCUUGUAGGCGGUUUGUCGCGUCUGCUGUGAAAUCUCAGGGCUCAACUCUGAGUGUGCAGUGGGUACGGGCAGACUAGAGUGUGGUAGGGGAGACUGGAAUUCCUGGUGUAGCGGUGGAAUGCGCAGAUAUCAGGAGGAACACCGAUGGCGAAGGCAGGUCUCUGGGCCACUACUGACGCUGAGAAGCGAAAGCAUGGGGAGCGAACAGGAUUAGAUACCCUGGUAGUCCAUGCCGUAAACGUUGGGCGCUAGGUGUGGGUCUCAUUCCACGAGAUCCGUGCCGCAGCUAACGCA